GACGAACGCUGGCGGCGUGCUUAACACAUGCCAGUCGAACGGGAAGGCCCUGCUUUUGUGGGGUGCUCGAGUGGCGAACGGGUGAGUAACACGUGAGUAACCUGCCCUUGACUUUGGGAUAACUUCAGGAAACUGGGGCUAAUACCGGAUAGGAGCUCCUGCUGCAUGGUGGGGGUUGGAAAGUUUCGGCGGUUGGGGAUGGACUCGCGGCUUAUCAGCUUGUUGGUGGGGUAGUGGCUUACCAAGGCUUUGACGGGUAGCCGGCCUGAGAGGGUGACCGGCCACAUUGGGACUGAGAUACGGCGCAGACUCCUACGGGAGGCAGCAGUGGGGAAUAGGGCACAAUGGGCGGAAGCCUGAUGCAGCAACGCCGCGUGCGGGAUGACGGCCUUCGGGGUGUAAACCGCUUUCGCCUGUGACGAAGCGUUAGUGACGGUAAUGGGUAAAGAAGCACCGGCUAACUACGUG
rnacentral:rRNA from 1 species